GGAAGUAAAAGUUCGUAACAAAGUUUCCGUAGGUGAACCUGCGGAAGGAUCAUUAUUGUAUAACCGAGGUGCGAGGGCUGUCGCUGACCCGAAAGGUCGUGCACGCCCGAGUGUCCUCACACACAUCCAUCUCACCCCUAUGUGCACCACCGCGUGGGUCCCCCUUUGGCUUGUUCGGAGGGGGGCUUACGUUUUCACACAAACUUUGUAUGCAGUGUAGAAUGUAUUUUUUGUUUUUGCGAUCACGCAAUCAAUACAACUUUCAACAACGGAUCUCUUGGCUCUC
rnacentral:misc_RNA from 1 species